rnacentral:rRNA from 1 species
AGUCGACGGUAUCUUUGGAUACAGUGGCGAACGGGUGAGUAACACGUAGGGAACCUGGCCAUACCUGGGGGAUAAUUUCUGGAAACGGAAACUAAUACCGCAUGGGUUUUGCUUAAGCCCUUAAGCGAAAUGAAAGAAGCGCGAGACGCUUCGGGGAUGGAUGGUCCUGCGCUGCAUUAGCUGGCUGGUGAGGCAACGGCUCACCAGGGCGAUGAUGCAUAGCCGGCCUGAGAGGGCGGACGGCCACACUGGGACUGAGACACGGCCCAGACUCCUGCGGGAGGCAGCAGUAGGGAAUUUUCGUCAAUGGGGGCAACCCUGAACGAGCAAUGCCGCGUGGGCGAAGAAGGUCUUCGGAUUGUAAAGCUCUGUUGCCGGGGAAAAAGGAAGGAAAGAGGAAAUGCUUUUCUUUGGAUGGUACCCGGCCAGAAAGUCACGGCUAACUACGUGCCAGCAGCCGCGGUAAUACGUAGGUGGCAAGCGUUAUCCGGAAUGAUUGGGCGUAAAGGGUGAGCAGGCGGUUCUUCAAGUCAUGAGUGAAAGGCAGAAGCUUAACUUCUGUUGGUUGAUGAGACUGGAGAACUUGAGUACAGGAGAGGGCGGCGGAACUCCAUGUGUAGCGGUAAAAUGCGUAGAGAUAUGGAAGAACACCAGUGGCGAAGGCGGCCGCCUGGACUGAAACUGACGCUCAGGCACGAAAGCGUGGGGAGCAAAUAGGAUUAGAUACCCUAGUAGUCCACGCCGUAAACGAUGAGGAGCAGGUGUCGCAAUGAAAUGCGGUGCCGAAGCCAACGCAAUGACUCCUCCGCCUGGGGAGUAUGCACGCAAGUGUGAA